GGGUGCGAUCAUACCAACGUUAAUGCACCAUAUCCCAUUAUAACUCCACAGUUAAGCGCACUUGGGAUAGAGUAGUACUGUGAUGGUUGACCUCCCAGGAAGUAUUAGUGUUGCACCCU
rfam:Picea glauca, whole genome shotgun sequence.